AACACUGCCUUGUCAUGCUUGUAGUAUUCUGAGGUAUUUUAAUGUUCCAGCCAAUGACAAAGUAACCAUAAACAUCUCUAGUCAGGUCAAAGAACAACACCGAGAUCAAAGUUGAUAACUUUGUGAGGUCUAAGAAUCUAGGAACAGUUAAUCAUUAAUUCAUUUUACAGCUGCAUCUGAAAUGUGUGUAUAGUUUCCUCUGAAACAGCAGAUAGAAGUAACCAAAUACAGUGAUACAUUUUUUUUUUCUCUUUCCAAAAUACACAGUAUGUUUGUUCUUUAAAAUAUCAUUUUUUGACACCAUGGCCACCAGAAAAAAUCUCUCAGCAGAAACUGACUUGAAGACAGAGAAAAGUCUUAGAGACUUUCCUGAAAGCAGACGGUUGUCUCUGAAGAGUACUGCUUCAAUGUGUGACCCACCUAUGUUGAGUGGGAAAAACUCUCUUGUUGAUGUAAGUCUGACUCAGAGAGAAUGUCCUGUUUGUCUAUGAAGAGUGAAGCAUCAAUGGGUGACCCACCUGAAUUAAACGAAAUAGACUCUCUGACUGAUGUAAGUCUGAUUCAGGGCAGGCCUCCUUAACCAAGCUGUUUGUCUAUGAAGAGUAAAGCAUCAAUGGGUGAUCCACCUGAAAAAAAUGGGACAGACUCUCCUGUUGAUCAGAGAAACAAACAGGAUGAAUCACUGUCGGAAUCACACUCCACUGGACAGAAGCAGUUGGACUCGAUUUUUAAGGUUGGAGUGUUUUUGUAUCUCUUUAUCCAAACAUCAUAGAACAGUGGUUUUCCACCACGUUCCUAUA